rnacentral:misc_RNA from 1 species
GAUGAAGAACGCAGCGAAAUGCGAUAAGUAGUGUGAAUUGCAGAAUUCAGUGAAUCAUCGAAUCUUUGAACGCACAUUGCGCCUUCUAGUAUUCUGGGAGGCAUGCCUGUUUGAGCGUCAUUAAACCUCUCUCAAGUAUGAUUACUUGGAUGUGAAGGAAGAGUACCUUAAACUUAAGGAGUGUUCUCCUUUGAAAUUGAUUAGCAGAUGGUAAUGUUAUUAAAUCCCUGAUGUUGUAAGAAAUAACAGUGGUUUUGUAGACUAUUAUCUAGCUUUAAAUUAUAAUUUUUAUUAUGGUUGACCUCAAAUCAGGUAAGGAUACCCGCUGAACUUAAGCAUAUCAAAAGCGGAGGA